UACGUAGGGGGCGAGCGUUGUCCGGAUUUACUGGGCGUAAAGCGCGUGUAGGCGGCUCCUUAAGUCGGGUGUGAAAGCCCGGGGCUCAACCCCGGGAUGCCGCUCGAGACUGGGGGGCUUGAGGACGGAAGAGGGGCGUGGAAUUCCUGGUGUAGCGGUGAAAUGCGUAGAGAUCAGGAGGAACACCCGUGGCGAAGGCGGCGCCCUGGUCCGUUACUGACGCUGAGACGCGAAAGCGCGGGGAGCGAACGGG
rnacentral:rRNA from 1 species